UCCGAUAUCGUCUAGCGGCUAGGAUACCGCGUUUUCAUCUUCCAUCCCCUCUCAUUCUCUGUCAUGAGGGAGGGUAAAAAGGUCCGCGGGGGCCGGGGUUCGAUUCCCCGUAUCGGAG